UACGUAGGGUGCAAGCGUUGUCCGGAAUUAUUGGGCGUAAAGAGCUCGUAGGCGGUCUGUCACGUCGGCUGUGAAAUCCCGAGGCUCAACCUCGGGUCUGCAGUCGAUACGGGCAGACUAGAGUAUUGCAGGGGAGACUGGAAUUCCUGGUGUAGCGGUGAAAUGCGCAGAUAUCAGGAGGAACACCGGUGGCGAAGGCGGGUCUCUGGGCAAUAACUGACGCUGAGGGGCGAAAGCGUGGGGAGCGAACAGG
rnacentral:rRNA from 1 species